AGAGUUUGAUCCUGGCUCAGAAUCAACGCUGGCGGCGUGCCUAACACAUGCAAGUCGAACGAGAAAGUGGAGCAAUCCAUGAGUAAAGUGGCGACCGGGUGAGUAACACGUGACUAACCUACCCUCGAGUGUGGAAUAACAUCGGGAAACCGAUGCUAAUACCGCAUAACAUCGCAAGAUCAAAGGAGCAAUCCGCUUGAGGAGGGGGUCGCGGCUGAUUAGCUAGUUGGCGGGGUAACGGCCCACCAAGGCGAAGAUCGGUAGCCGGCCUGAGAGGGCGCACGGCCGCACUGGAACUGAAACACGGUCCAGACUCCUACGGGAGGCAGCAGUGGGGAAUUUUGCGCAAUGGGGGAAACCCUGACGCAGCAACGCCGCGUGGAGGAUGAAGCCCCUUGGGGCGUAAACUCC
rnacentral:rRNA from 1 species